rnacentral:rRNA from 1 species
GGGCCCGCACAAGCGGUGGAGCAUGUGGUUUAAUUCGAUGCAACGCGAAGAACCUUACCAUCCCUUGACAUCCAGUGAACUUUCUAGAGAUAGAUUGGUGCCUUCGGGAACACUGAGACAGGUGCUGCAUGGCUGUCGUCAGCUCGUGUUGUGAGAUGUUGGGUUAAGUCCCGCAACGAGCGCAACCCUUAUCCUUAGUUGCCAGCGAUUCGGUCGGGAACUCUGGGGAGACUGCCGGUGAUAAACCGGAGGAAGGUGGGGACGACGUCAAGUCAUCUGGCCCUUACGGGAUGGGCUACACACGUGGCUACAAUGGCGCGUACAAAGGGCAGCGAACCUGCGAGGGU